GAUGAACGCUGGCGGCGUGCCUAAUACAUGCAAGUCGGGCGAACAGACGAGGAGCUUGCUCCUCUGACGUUAGCGGCGGACGGGUGAGUAACACGUGGAUAACCUACCUAUAAGACUGGGAUAACUUCGGGAAACCGGAGCUAAUACCGGAUAAUAUAUUGAACCGCAUGGUUCAAUAGUGAAAGACGGUUUUGCUGUCACUUAUAGAUGGAUCCGCGCCGCAUUAGCUAGUUGGUAAGGUAACGGCUUACCAAGGCAACGAUGCGUAGCCGACCUGAGAGGGUGAUCGGCCACACUGGAACUGAGACACGGUCCAGACUCCUACGGGAGGCAGCAGUAGGGAAUCUUCCGCAAAGGGCGAAAGCCUGACGGAGCAACGCCGCGUGAGUGAUGAAGGUCUUCGGAUCGUAAAACUCUGUUAUUAGGGAAGAACAAAUGUGUAAGUAACUAUGCACGUCUUGACGGUACCUAAUCAGAAAGCCACGGCUAACUACGUG
rnacentral:rRNA from 1 species